UACGAAGGGGGCUAGCGUUGCUCGGAAUCACUGGGCGUAAAGCGCACGUAGGCGGUUUCUUAAGUCAGGGGUGAAAUCCUGGAGCUCAACUCCAGAACUGCCUUUGAUACUGGGAGACUUCGAGUCCGGGAGAGGUGGGUGGAACUGCGAGUGUAGAGGUGAAAUUCGUAGAUAUUCGCAAGAACACCAGUGGCGAAGGCGGCUCACUGGCCCGGUACUGACGCUGAGGCACGAAAGCGUGGGGAGCAAACAGG
rnacentral:rRNA from 1 species